AAUAGAUCGGGUUGUACACAGACAGAUCCUUUGGCUUCCAAGUUUGGACUGGAAGGAUCACAGAGAAGGGAAAGAAGACUGGUUUGGUGACAUAGACUAGAUGAUCACAAUGGUCCCUGGAAGAUGUACAGGUCUUACGCUAUAGGACACUUGUACAGUGGGGACAAAAGCGACAAAUUGCACAAGGGAUUCUGCCAACAUGCCCAGCUCAGAGACACGGAGACUAGUCCAUCCCCUCCUACUGUGAGGGGACUUGCCAAGUUUCGUUUGUCCAUCUCCUCCUGACUGACUGCCUCCCUGGCUCCGUGUGCCUCUGCCUCCCGCUCCCUCCUUCAGUCCGUGGUGCUGCCUGUGACAAGGCGCGUUUGGAGAAAGAUGAAUUGAAAUGACAUGCGAGCUCCAGCGUGACUGCUGGGCUGAUGCAUGAGGAGCCGUCACUUGCUUUCUGUGGUCCUGGACCUCCUGGUGCAUUUUGAAAGCAGGUGUGUGGCAUGCCAAUGGAUGCCAGGCUGUUCCUCUCUCGGUUGGGGAUAGCAGCUCAGAUGCUGUCCUGAGCCUCCGGCCGUCUCACUCUUAGAAGAGCAUUGCAGACAUGACUAGACACUUCUAGCUCUAGCUCCCCGAAUCCCUGGGAUGUUGGCUGGCAGCCAGCCUGCAGUGGAUUUGCAUGGCCCAUCAGACAGGAUGAAGCAGGGACAGAGCCUCCUGUAGCAGAGCUUUGCAAAUGUGCCACAAUGCCAGGGUUUUAAAGUCCCAGCACUCUGGUCCAUUGCUCUUUCACCAGUUAAAGGACCCAUGUUCGCAUCCUUUGCACUUCCUUUGGACCUUCAACCUCUCUGGUGCUCCUUUGGGGAUCAGCUCUUUUAGGGCCUGAUCCUGAGCCAUGCAACUCAGAGGGAAUUUUGCCAUUUUAAUGGGCACAGGAUCACCCCUCUAGUGCACCCCACUGGAAUCAUUAACUAAUUAAUGCCCAUAAUCUUCUUUGAAGAUGCAAAGGGCUACAUUAUGUGGGCCAAAUUUUGAGAUGCUGCAGCCCCCAUUGGGCCAAAUUCUGAAGAUCCAAUGGUGCCUGCCCAGAACUUACUCAAGUCCCAUUGAAUUUUUGGGGAGUUUUUGCAUAAGGACAGGAUAAAAAUGAGUGAUGACUUUAGGAUUUGGCCCAGAGGUUAAGUAGGAGUAAGAGAUAGGAACAGCCUUGGGAUCUGGCCCAUUUUGCACAAUGCAUGUAUGAAAGAAGCAAAUAUCCUGGGGGUGGCUGCAGAGAACAUCUGCCAUUGGGACUGGCUAACAAUGGCAGAACAAGAAAGUGAGCCAGAGGGCCUCAAGACAUCUCCACUGGCUCUCCAGCCUGUGUGCAUGUCCAUCAUGGCACAACCAUAGGAGCAGUUAAAAAGAGUCUAUGGUAGGCAAAAACGGAUGUAGUGAGUUGGCACCAACAACUAAUUCACCAGUCUAUUUAUGGUAGAUAAGGGAACCUUGGCAGGUAGAUUUUCAACUGAGCACACAGACCACAAUAGCAGGUGCACAUUUUAACCGCUGCAGAUAUAAAUGCACACACACCUCCCCACAGACCAAACUUUGAUUUCUCUAGUAGCCUGUACAAUGUCAAUGGUAUAAGUGUUGUGUCAAGGCACUGGCCCAAUUCAGCUUUAGCCAAGGGUUAAUAACCCAGACCCAUCCUAGGUGAGUCAUAAUUGUCUUUGGGGAGGUUUUUUCAACCCAGGUCCAAGAAUGGGUGGUAGAAUUGUUUUUCCCUUUUAGGAAGAAACUUAGGCCGAGGCUGGUUCCUGUGGUAACUGACAGCAGGCCUCAGACUAGGGCACAUGGAAGAGGUAAUAAGUCAAGCAAAGGUGCCACUUGAAAGCCUUUCCGUCCCUCUGAGGCAGGGAACCAGAGGAGCUGUGAAACCCUUAGCAGGUUCUGUCAGCCUUAUUCACACUUUAUCAGAUGGGGAAAGCCCAAAAGGCUGUGAGGCAGGUAAUUAAUCUUGGGCUAUAAUGGAAAGCCCUGUUGAAUGGGGGGGAAGCGGGGGCCUGAAGAGAAGAGAGGGGAACUUUCCAAAAUUUUGAAUGUUGUUUUUUUUUAUCCGAAGUUCACCCCUGUUUUAGCCAUUUUAAGCUUAUUUAUAUUUUUUUUCUAGUUUUAUUUAUUCUGUUAUUUAGGGUCACUGUUUUCUCCCCACUAUAAAACAUGAUGAUGAUGAUGAUGAACUGAGUGUGUAACCCACACUAAUUAAGCCCCCGACUAUUGCUAUGAGCUAGGCAAAGCAUACCCGGAUAAAUAGGUUGCAGCCUCCACUGGUAGAGGAAGGAUGGGCUUGUGGGCAAGGUACUAGGCUGGCAUUCAGAAAAUAAGGAUUCAGUUCUCCACUCUGUUACCAGCCUCCAGCAUGACCCUAGACAAAUCACUGAAUCUGGCUGUGCCACCAUUCUUCCUCUGAAAUUCACAUACACUUAUUUCAAUCUGUAUGUACAGCUACGUUACAAUUGCCUAUAUGUCCAGGGGACAAAAAAAAAUGUGAGUGUUAGUGGCUUAGACUCCUAUGAUUUACUGAGACUCGCCUCUGAAUCUGGCCCAGACAAUGCUGCAAUCAGGCAUCGCUACCCCAGUGGCUAAUACACAUGAUUUUACCUUGGUACCCAGCUACUCUUCCCCUGGUCCCCAAAACUCUUCCCUCAAAGGAGGUAACAACCCCACUGGAGAUGGAGUUAAACCAGCACUAAGAUUUUGUUAUGAACUAAUAGAAUCCCAUCACAAGACAAUGACAAGCCCCCACACUUAAAACCAUGUCCCCUAGACAAGCAUUGGGGACAGACUCAAAGGCUGUACACUGAAGACUGAGAACAACUGUGUUAAAGGAAAUAACUAUUUACUCUAGGCCUCUUUGCUUUUGUUAUGUGUCUUGUUCGGGGCCUUGUUUCCAUCUUUAGGUCCCAGACAAUGGAGAAUUAUGGACUUGUAGGGGAUCUGCUUUCUUCUUUCAGAUGGAACAUCAAAUAGAGGGCUCAGCAUUCAUGGAGAGGGUGCAGAUUUCCAAAAGGGGCUCGGCAUUGGCUUAACUGUGCUGCCAUCAAAGAGGAUAGGCGCGUUCGUGCUGACUUCAGUGGGAACAGAGUUAGGCCAAUGCUGAGAGCUCUAGAAAAUCCCACUCGUGGUCAUUAAAGAUCCCGGGGCAUGUUCUGUGAGAGCAACAACUUGGCUAAACCCCAGCUCAGGUAACUGCAUUCUGACUCCACACCUCCAACCCCCAGAGCCCUUUCCACUCUACAGAGGAGGGGUUCUCUUCAUAACUCUUGCCCCCUGUACAAGAUGCAUCUGUCCCGCACUGGCCCAGGUAGGGUUAACCACACCCUGUUGGCUGAAGGGGCUAUGCCCCCUUGCUGGGCGUGCUCCGACUGGAGACAGUGUAAGAGGAAGUAGCUCAGUGACUGAGGAGGAGAGCAGCUGUGUGUUGCAGGCUCCUGUAAGGAAGCUACUGGAGCCCCAGACUGCAGGGGCCAGCCACCCUGAGACCCCUGCGGACACCCAGUCGACUUCCGAGGACAACAAAGAAGAGAUUGCUGAUGCUGGGAGACUACUGCCACUGGACAUAAGGGUAGGAAGUGACCCAGAGAACAGGACUGUUGCAGUGAGAGACUGAACCUGAAUCCAGGAGUAUUGGCUCCCCAAGACCCUGAAGGCAAGGGCUGCCACCUUGACUUGGGCCACUAGGCCAUGUGGCCCUGAAGACAGGGGACACCCUAGUGUCUCUUGCCACUUGAGCUGCAACUACUCCUUUUCAUUGUCUGCCUUGAACCUAACACCAUACAAUGGGGUGUAUCUGUCCUGUGACACCCCCCAGAGCUCCCUCAGCUCCACCAUGAGAUGCAGUGGUCAUCCCCAUAACUACAAUCUCCCUAGUCUUUGUCCCAUACUGAGGGAGAGCAGUCUGAGGAGAAGCCCAUUCUUGCUUGCCCCAUCUCUCCUUCUCUCUGUUCUUUUUCCUCCUUGCCCGUUUGGCUUUCCAAGGUCUGAGGGUGGGUCAGCAGGUCAAAGUGAAGGAGCAGGAGCCUGUGCUUGUGAAAGACUAAGGAGUUCCAUGUUUGCCUGUACACAUCAUUGAGGACAAACAGCCUCUCGCUUGCUUACCCAUUACUGCUGCUGCCCCAGCACUGUGGGCAUCAGGUUCCAGGUCGUGGCAUGGUCAGCAGGGCAGUAACAUGGGGCAAGAUAUGGGUGAGAAGCUAUCCCUUCCCUCCAACACCUCAAGAGAAGAAGCCCUGCUGCUAGUCUUUGAUUUGGGAUUAUUGUACACCUCUCCCACACACUCUCUGCCCCACAAUUUCAUCCAUGGACCAGUGCAGGGCCUGAUACAGGGGCUGGAGGGAGGAAUUUUGUGCCAGAGCUAUAUGGACUGUUUUGGCCCCUGGCACAGACUAGGGCAUAUUGAAGGCUGCUGUAACUUGCACUCCCUACUGCCACAGCCCCUGAGAGACCACCCUCACCAUGCCUUCUCCCUUCCUUGGCACGCUCCACCCCACACCCAUGUCAGGACAUCAGCAUGCCCUCCAGCAAGGGCUUCUGCCAUCAUAGGGUAGGCAGAGCUAGAAGAUCUGGCUCUGGGCCUGUCCUAGAAGCCCUAAGCAUUGUGGGGUGUCCCCAGAGGGGAGGGCUUACACCUACUUUGUGGUCCCUUUGCCUGCUGACUAAUUGUCCCAAAGGGACCACAGAGCAAGUAGGAAUCUGAGAAAGCACCUAAAUGAUUUUGGACUACAGGGAAAGUAAAGGGGACUCAUGGCCCUAAAUUACCAAGGGGCUUUUGAAAAUGCCAUACUGGCCUCCAAUGCUCAAGAUACCAGAAAAUCAGGAAUAGAAAUGAGGUGAAAGGGAGAAGGAAAUGAAUCUCUGAAUGUGAUCUGACAAUGGACUAGUAUCCACCCCCCUCCCUCAGCCCUCUCCAACACCUCCCGUUCCCUUUUGACAAGCUUUGCUUUAAAGUUCCCUAAUCAUACAUACAUAUAUUUCAAAAUUUCUCUGUGCAAAGGCCUGUUUCCUGUAUCUGUUGCCUAAUCUAUACAGCAUCUCUCCUCUGCACCAGUGUCACACUUGUUAGAAAAGCAAUGAGUCCCAAGCAAUGUUUACUGCUGAUUUGAAAUUAUCUAUCACUCAGCCCGCUUUUCUCUACAGGGCCAUCAAUCUUAUCACCUGCAGACGGGAGCCAAGUGGCAGAGUUCAUCUCUCUCUGGAACCCUUUUGUUUUUUUUUCUGCCUUGCUCUUUCUCUCCCUUGCAAAAGAAUUUCUCUUUUGUUGAGAAGAUAUUUGCCCUCUCUCUCUCUCCCUCUUUUUUUUUUUUUUUUGCCUAAGGUGCAGAUGACUUGGCUCUCUGAACCUUCCAGGGGAAUUGGCUGCUGGCUGCAUCAUCUCAUGGUUUCCACCUUGAUGGUGGCCUAGGAUGUUUCAGCUCAAAGAGACUCUGGGAUGUGGGCUGCUGGAACAUCCCUCUCAAAUCUCAUCGGUUAAAUCAGGGAGAGUGGUGCUGACAGGGAACAGGGAACAAAAGAACCUUGGAAUUGGGGACAUGCUAGAGAUUUUAUGGCAAGAGUCAGGGAUCAAGUCUAGCUACAGCUGAACAAAGGAAACAUUUAUUUUAUUUUAACAAAGUCAGAUUGGUACUGAAAGGGAUAGGGGGUCACUGUCUUUGGUCUUAUACAUUCUGAUCCCUUAGGUGUAAAAGAAUGAGACUGUAUUCAAACGACUCAAGGAACAUUUCUGAUGCAAAGUCAUCAGAUCCGGGACUUUGAAGAGAGUUGUGAGUUUCAGAGGUUGGAGACCAAGGUUUCACGUUAGCUGUUGGAGAUUCACAUCAGACUUGGUCACAGGAGAGCAGGAGUGUGCACAAGGUGGGGCAAGCAGGAGCAUGGGUCUCCCAAAUAAUUGGCAGCACAAUGCUCCUUGGGCCUGGGUGGGAUCACAGACCGUGCCCCUCCGAAAGCAACGACAUUUAAAUUCCUGUGCACACCCCUUCUGGAGGGUCACGGUAUUGCAGACUCGGGUUCAGAUUUAGAUGUUUGGCUUUCACGUGUUGGGCAGUCCUGCAUGGUGAUUGGGUGUUUAAAAACUCAGAUAAGGGCUGAACUGUGGGUUAGGUUUGUGGGGAUUCAGAUGCUGAGAGAGUCAAGUGUUUAGGUGUUGGUGAG